rnacentral:rRNA from 1 species
GCACAAGCGGUGGAGCAUGUGGUUUAAUUCGACGCAACGCGAAGAACCUUACCAGCCCUUGACAUCCCGGUCGCGCUUUCCAGAGAUGGGGGGUCCGUAAGGGUCCUAUACAGGUGGUGCAUGGCUGUCGUCAGCUCGUGUCGUGAGAUGUUGGGUUAAGUCCCGCAACGAGCGCAACCCUCGUCCUAUGUUGCCAGCACGUUAUGGUGGGGACUCAUAGGAGACUGCCGGGGUCAACUCGGAGGAAGGUGGGGAUGACGUCAAGUCAUCAUGCCCCUUAUGUCCAGGGCUUCACGCAUGCUACAAUGGCCGGUACAAAGGGCUGCGAAACUGUAAGGUGGAGCGAAUCCCAAAAAGCCGGUCUCAGUUCGGAUUGGGGUCUGCAACUCGACCCCAUGAAGUCGGAGUCGCUAGUAAUCGCAGAUCAGCAACGCUGCGGUGAAUACGUUCCCGGGC